GGUCGAUGAUGAUUGGUAAAAGGUCUGAUUGCACUUAAUGUCACAGUCCCUUCCCUGCCCUCAGCUCCCAGCAGCCCAUUUUUCCUCUCCUGUCACAUUUAAGUCAUGUGUAUGGGGUAAUGGAGCAGCUGAUAAUUUGGGAUUCUGUCAGUGUGUGUUUCCGAGAGUGAAGGGUUCACAGCUGGCAAGUGUCCAACAGAAGCAGCUACACAGGAGUUUGAUGAGUGGCAGCCGUGGGCGUGAUUGUGCAUGAUCUCAAGUUUUCAAUCUGAGACC
ensembl:scaRNA